GGCCCCUGACCGGGGUUGCGGACAGUGUCUGGUGGGUAGUUUGACUGGGGCGGUCUCCUCCCAAAGCGUAACGGAGGAGCACGAAGGUUAGCUAAUCCUGGUCGGACAUCAGGAGGUUAGUGCAAUGGCAUAAGCUAGCUUGACUGCGAGCGUGACGGCGCGAGCAGGUGCGAAAGCAGGUCAUAGUGAUCCGGUGGUUCUGAAUGGAAGGGCCAUCGCUCAACGGAUAAAAGGUACUCCGGGGAUAACAGGCUGAUACCGCCCAAGAGUUCAUAUCGACGGCGGUGUUUGGCACCUCGAUGUCGGCUCAUCACAUCCUGGGGCUGAAGUAGGUCCCAAGGGUAUGGCUGUUCGCCAUUUAAAGUGGUACGCGAGCUGGGUUUAGAACGUCGUGAGACAGUUCGGUCCCUAUCUGCCGUGGGCGCUGGAGAAUUGAGGGGGGCUGCUCCUAGUACGAGAGGACCGGAGUGGACGCAUCACUGGUGUUCGGGUUGUCAUGCCAAUGGCACUGCCCGGUAGCUAAAUGCGGAAGAGAUAAGUGCUGAAAGCAUCUAAGCACGAAACUUGCCCCGAGAUGAG
rnacentral:rRNA from 1 species